UUGAGCAUAGCACAGCUGAUCCUUUAAUCGUAUGUGUGUAACUAGGUCAGUGUGUAUUGGCCAAACUUCCGUUCACCCUGAGUGUCCAACAAAUAAACUGUGACACACAUACACACACACACACACUCUCACAAACACUCUCACUCACACACUCACACACAGACACUAUGACACAUGGCUAAUGAGUAAGAAAGAAAGUGACAUUCGGUGAACCAGAAAGGGGCAGGGUCUGGGUCACUGUGGACGGAACAUGUUCUAUAAAACCUCAUCUUGCUUUUACUGUGAAAGAAACCCUAUGUUCAAGCUAUCAGCAAGUGACGAGUCGCUCAUAUCUCUGAUGAGCUGUGGAGCAGCAGCUGUUUGUGAUUUUCGACUCAUUAUAUAUAUAUAUAUUUUUUUUUUCCAGUUCCUCUUUAUUCACACGUGAAGUCCUCGGCUUUGUGUGAGCUUCAUUCUCAGAGUAGAUCAGCUAAAACACCUGCAGCCCUGAGUCCUGAGUCUGCAGAGUAAUGGACUGUGUCUGAGCUGCUAUUUUCUGAACAUCAUCGCAGGAGCAGACGGAGUGGGACGCAGUGAACCGCCUGCUGCAGCACCAGGGAUUUAAACCCGUCUGCUUCGCCGAUCCCACUGAGAACAAGAAACUGUCAGACCUGGUGCUGUUGGAGAGAUGGUCCUCGUCUGAGCUGCGUCUCGUGCUGAAGACCAUGCUGAUGGACUCGGAGCGCAGACAAGCUCUGAUCCAGGAACUCAUCCAGUCUAACAGCAAGUUAAAGACAGACAUCAACACACCCUCCAGCUCCUCUGCUCUGUGUGACUGAUGCACCACCCGUGCCUGCUGCUCGUCUCAACGGGAUCUUCACUAAGGCAGGAUCACAGGAUGAAGCCACUAGUGGGAUGGAUCACACACCCUGCUGUCUGUAGGAGCCCAUCGAGAGAAGAAGGUGAGAGAGAAGAGCUGGACGUCUAACAUCACACAGGCAAGUUGUGUUACUGCUACACACACACUUAAACCCAUACAUACAGCAGAAGAGUCUGGGGUCUGAGAUUAUAGGGUCUAGUGGAACGUAAUAUCGCCUCUCUCUGUCCACAUGGGGACGAUGUAGAGCAGCAAACCGCCGAGCUACAAAGACUCUAAUUGUUCAUUAGUGGAAAAGCUGAUGCUGUAAUCUACAGACCCAGUGUUGGGCUUUCACAGGGAACAGGGGCGAAGACACACAAUCUAUCAUACAGC